rnacentral:rRNA from 1 species
CGACCGGCGCACGGGUGAGUAACACGUAUCCAACCUGCCGAUGACUCGGGGAUAGCCUUUCGAAAGAAAGAUUAAUAUCCGAUGGCAUAGUUCUUCCGCAUGGUAGAACUAUUAAAGAAUUUCGGUCAUCGAUGGGGAUGCGUUCCAUUAGGUUGUUGGCGGGGUAACGGCCCACCAAGCCUUCGAUGGAUAGGGGUUCUGAGAGGAAGGUCCCCCACAUUGGAACUGAGACACGGUCCAA